GACGAACGCUGGCGGCGUGCCUAAUACAUGCAAGCAGAACGCAGUUGAGCACGGGCGAGUAACGCGUAGGUAACCUGCCUCAUAGCGGGGGCGAACUAUUGGAAACGAUAGCUAGUACCGCAUAAUGUAAGAUGGACCUGUGUUGUAUUAGCUAAUUAGUGAGGUAAAGGCUCACCAAGGCGACGAGACAUAGCCGACCUGACAGGGUGAUUGGCAAUACUGGUACUGAGACACGGCCCAGACUCCUACGGGAGGCAGCAGUAGGGAAUCUUCGGAAAUGGACGGAAGUCUGACCGAGCAUCGCCGCGUGAGUGAGGAGGGUUUUCGGAUCGUAAGGCUCUGUUGUUAGGGAGGCGGUAACUAGCCAGAAAGGGAAGGCUAAGUACGUGCCAGCAGCCGCGAUAAUAC
rnacentral:rRNA from 1 species